rnacentral:rRNA from 1 species
GGGCUUGACAUCCCACGAACCUGCCUGAAGGGGCGGGGUGCCCGCAAGGGAGCGCGGAGACAGGUGGUGCAUGGCUGUCGUCAGCUCGUGUCGCGAGAUGUUGGGUUAAGUCCCGCAACGAGCGCAACCCUCACCCCUAGUUGCCACCGGGUCAUGCCGAGCACUCAAGGGGAACUGCCAGCGUCAAGCUGGAGAAAGGCGGGGAUGACGUCAAGUCAUCAUGCCCCUUACGCCCUGGGCUACACACGUGCUACAGUGGCCAGUACAAAGGGACGCGAGACUGCGAAGUGGAGCUAAUCCCAAAAAGCUGGUCUAAGUUCAGAUUGCAGUCUGCAACUCGACUGCAUGAAGGAGGAAUCGCUAGUAAUCGCGCAUCAGCCCGGCGCGGUGAAUACGUUCCCGGGCCUUGUACACACCGCCCGUCACACCACGAAAGCUGUCUGUACUCGAAGUCGCUGAG